CGGGUGAGUAACACGUGGGUUACCUGCCCCGAUGAUCGGGACAACCCGAGGAAACUCGGGCUAAUACCAAAUGUGCUCCUGGCCGUAAUGGCCUUGAGGAAAGGAAGCUUCGGCCUCCGCAUCGGGAUGGGCCCGCGGCCCAUUAGCUAGUUGGUGGGGUAAUGGCCUACCAAGGCGACGAUGGGUAGCUGGUCUGAGAGGACGAUCAGCCACACUGGGACUGAGACACGGCCCAG
rnacentral:rRNA from 1 species